GACGAACGCUGGCGGCGUGCCUAAUACAUGCCAGUCGAACGAGAGCGACCGGUGCUUGCACUGGUCAAUCUAGUGGCGAACGGGUGAGUAACACGUGGGUAACCUGCCCAUCAGAGGGGGAUAACAUCCGGAAACGGAUGCUAAAACCGCAUAGGUCUUCGAACCGCAUGGUUUGAAGAGGAAAAGAGGCGCAAGCUUCUGCUGAUGGAUGGACCCGCGGUGCAUUAGCUAGUUGGUGAGGUAACGGCUCACCAAGGCCGUGAUGCAUAGCCGACCUGAGAGGGUGAUCGGCCACAUUGGGACUGAGACACGGCCCAAACUCCUACGGGAGGCAGCAGUAGGGAAUCUUCCGCAAUGGACGCAAGUCUGACGGAGCAACGCCGCGUGAGUGAAGAAGGUUUUCGGAUCGUAAAACUCUGUUGUUAGAGAAGAACAAGUGCUAGAGUAACUGUUAGCGCCUUGACGGUAUCUAACCAGAAAGCCACGGCUAACUACGUG
rnacentral:rRNA from 1 species